rnacentral:rRNA from 1 species
GACGAACGCUGGCGGCGUGCCUAAUACAUGCCAGUUGAGCGCUGAAGGUUGGUACUUGUACCGACUGGAUGAGCAGCGAACGGGUGAGUAACGCGUGGGGAAUCUGCCUUUGAGCGGGGGACAACAUUUGGAAACGAAUGCUAAUACCGCAUAAAAACUUUAAACACAAGUUUUAAGUUUGAAAGAUGCAAUUGCAUCACUCAAAGAUGAUCCCGCGUUGUAUUAGCUAGUUGGUGAGGUAAAGGCUCACCAAGGCGAUGAUACAUAGCCGACCUGAGAGGGUGAUCGGCCACAUUGGGACUGAGACACGGCCCAAACUCCUACGGGAGGCAGCAGUAGGGAAUCUUCGGCAAUGGACGAAAGUCUGACCGAGCAACGCCGCGUGAGUGAAGAAGGUUUUCGGAUCGUAAAACUCUGUUGGUGGAGAAGAACGUUGGUGAGAGUGGAAAGCUCAUCAAGUGACGGUAACUACCCAGAAAGGGACGGCUAACUACGUG